CCGGGGCCCAGAGCCCUGCUGAGUGAGGCCGAGGUGGGGAACACAGAGGCCAGCCCUGGCCAGGACCAGCCGCACUGUUCCUGGGAGGGGGUGGCUGAGGAACGCAAGGGAUGGAAGACAGCGAGGCUCCGAGCCGCUGGGCAGGUUUGUGAGAGGCUCAGGGAGAAGCAAGGGCACUCCAGACUCCCUUCACCCAGACCGGAGGGCGAGACGACAUCAAGAGACAGUGCUGCGGGCCUCGGCUCACCAGGACAGUGGGAAUGGACUGCACUGCGCCCUCUUCAAGGACCUAAAGCUUCCUGUUGAGGUGGAGCCCUCUGCCCCAGGAGCUACAAAGACCUCAAGGACUCCCUGUGUCUCUUGAAAUCAAGCACUUGCCAAGUUGGGGAGACUUUCCUUGGAAAGUCUGAGUGCAGAAAGGAGCCCCAGACCCCAAGGAAGGUCUCUUGAAGCCCCAGCUGCCACCCUCGGGCCCUGCAGAGCAGCCCGGCAAGAACUAGAACCCUGUUGCCAGUAAACACAGCCAAAGAACUGGAGGCGGGAAUUCAGGCAAAACCGUUUUGGGGAGCUGGUCCUGGCAACUCAGAUUCCAGGAACUUCUGCUCCCUGUCAGGAGGCCUGGCCCCAGAGCUGGACAGGGCCUCAUGGGUGGACAUAACUGCUUGGUCAUUAUUGCCUCUCAGCCUCUGUUUAUGCAGCUGGAGGUCUUCACAGAUAAAAAGAUUUCUCAACUUCAGACUUAUCAGGGCGCAACUAUGGUCCCCAUCUCGCUAGUGCUCGUAUUGCAGGGUCACCCAGGGUAGCGCCGAGAGGCCGCAUCUUCAAGCCCUACCUCAAACCCCAGCUUUAAGGCGGGAUCUAGACCGGA